AUUCCUUGUCGGGUAAGUUCCGACCUGCACGAAUGGAGCAACGACCUCUCCGCUGUCUCUACUAUGAACUCGGCGAAAUUGCACUACGAGUAAAGAUGCUCGUUACGCGCAGCAGGACGGAAAGACCCCGGGACCUUUACUAUAGCUUGGUAUUGGUGUUCGGUACGGCUUGUGUAGGAUAGGUGGGAGACUGUGAAGCGGGCACGCCAGUGUUCGUGGAGUCGUCGUUGAAAUACCACUCUGGUCGAAUUGGAUGUCUAACCUCGGUCCGUGAUCCGGAUCAGGGACAGUGCCUGAUGGGUAGUUUAACUGGGGCGGUUGCCUCCUAAAAUGUAACGGAGGCGCCCAAAGGUUCCCUCAGGCUGGUUGGCAAUCAGCCGUCGAGUGCAAUGACACAAGGGAGCUUGACUGCGAGACAGACAUGUCGAGCAGGUACGAAAGU
rnacentral:rRNA from 1 species